GUUUUCGAGCCAAGCAGACCAUUGUGACCUAAAGCUAGACAUUGUGCCCUAAAAAGUGAAAAUUAAGAGCUAUUUCCUACGGCAAGCUAAAUAGCGGAUUAUUGUGGAGGAAAUAUUGCCGUAUUUGGGAAAAUUUUAAGUCGGUUAUUACGCUUACUAUUCUCGGUUCGCGCCCGAUAGUAGAACCAGUACAGGUACACAAACCCGCCUUUCAACGUGGGUUUUUUCUUUGGUUUAGAAAAUCGAUGACCACCUAAUCUUGUGUGCAGUAGUGAGCGGAAAACCUUUUUGGCACACUCUAGUGCUCGAGCGGCUAGCGUGACGUUGCAUCCGCCCAGUAAGACCGCCUUCGGAAAAAUCGUGCAGACGAAACGUCGCAACCGUGCGGUGUGGCAUCGCGUCAUCUAGUUACCAACAACUGCGUCAUCAUCAACCGUUCGCCACCUCUGCGAAUCGCCUCAUUACACCGACCCUAGUCGCACUCUACGUCAUCGAAAGACACGUGCUGCCACCUCGUG